GAUGAACGCUGGCGGCGUGCCUAAUACAUGCAAGUCGAGCGAACGGACGAGAAGCUUGCUUCUCUGAUGUUAGCGGCGGACGGGUGAGUAACACGUGGAUAACCUACCUAUAAGACUGGGAUAACUUCGGGAAACCGGAGCUAAUACCGGAUAAUAUUUCGAACCGCAUGGUUCAAAAGUGAAAGACGGUCUUGCUGUCACUUAUAGAUGGAUCCUCGCUGCAUUAGCUAGUUGGUAAGGUAACGGCUUACCAAGGCAACGAUGCAUAGCCGACCUGAGAGGGUGAUCGGCCACACUGGAACUGAGACACGGUCCAGACUCCUACGGGAGGCAGCAGUAGGGAAUCUUCCGCAAUGGGCGAAAGCCUGACGGAGCAACGCCGCGUGAGUGAUGAAGGUCUUCGGAUCGUAAAACUCUGUUAUUAGGGAAGAACAUAUGUGUAAGUAACUGUGCACAUCUUGACGGUACCUAAUCAGAAAGCCACGGCUAACUACGUG
rnacentral:rRNA from 1 species